rnacentral:rRNA from 1 species
GACGAACGCUGGCGGCGUGCUUAACACAUGCAAGUCGAACGGAAAGUCCCUGCUUUUGUGGGCUGCUCGAGUUGCGAACGGGUGAGUAACACGUGAGUCACCUGCCCUUGACUUUGGGAUAUCUUCAUGCAACUUGGUCUAUUACCUCCUAGGAGCUCCUGCUUCUUGGUGGGGGUUGGUUAGUUUCGGCGGUUGGGGAUGGACUCGCGGCUUAUCAGCUUGUUGUUGGGGUAGUGGCUUACCAAGGCUUUGACCGGUAGCCGGGCUGCGAGGGUCACCGGCCACAGUGGGACGGAGAUGCGGCCCAGACUACAACGGGAGGGAGGAGAGGGGAAGAUUGCACAAUGGGAGGAAGGAUGAUGCAGAAAAGCAGCGUGGGGGAUGAGGGCCUGGGGGUAGGAAAGCGAAGUCGCCUGUGACGAAGCGUGAGUGACGGUAAUGGGUAAAGAAGCACCGGCUAACUACGUG